rnacentral:lncRNA from 1 species
AGUCCGGCUCCUACUGGGGAGCUGCGGCAGUUUGUUACUCGAGGCCGCCCUUCAAGGCGGGCCCCGAAGGCCCGGCCUGGUGAAGAGUUGGUUUUGUCAGCAGUUUGGUUUCUCCAUGUUUGACAGCUUCCCUUUGCUCACCCAAAUGGGAGAAAAAGCAAGAUGAGCGUACUUAAAUACUAAAAGAGUAAGAGCCCAUGAGCACAACACAAUUUCAGACUUCGAAGAAAAGGAGGAAUUAAUAAGUGAUGUCCCCAAGAAGGCAGAAAUAUCUGGGAGGUGAUUUGUGUCAAGUAUUUUGUUACAGCACUCAAAAGUAUGGCAUACUACUUAAAGAAUAAGACUCUGUAGAUGAAAUAGAUUACUCCUGUGAAAAAAAUAUCCUGGUUAUUCAAUAAAUACUCUGCGUGGGAGGAGUAAAGACGGAAAC